UACGAAGGGGGCUAGCGUUGCUCGGAAUUACUGGGCGUAAAGCGCACGUAGGCGGAUCUUUAAGUCAGGGGUGAAAUCCCAAGGCUCAACCUUGGAACUGCCUUUGAUACUGGGGAUCUCGAGUCCGGAAGAGGUUGGUGGAACUGCGAGUGUAGAGGUGAAAUUCGUAGAUAUUCGCAAGAACACCAGUGGCGAAGGCGGCUCACUGGCCCGGUACUGACGCUGAGGUGCGAAAGCGUGGGGAGCAAACAGGG
rnacentral:rRNA from 1 species